CAUGAGAAAUCCUCAAGGAGAGAAGUUUUGUGGCACAGACUAUUCCCGAGUGUGAGAGUCUCAGCCAGAGACUGCUACCAGGACAGCUGCAGCUGAUGUCAGAUGAUCACGCCUGAAAUCUGAGCAUCUAACAAACUCUUCAGGUGCUGCUACUGAACACCGGCUCUCUCCCUUCUGACACAAAAUGCUUUUCCUCAACUUUGACCUGAUCUCUGCCCUGGCCACUCCCGCCUGCCUGGUGUCCAUGGCUCGGCUGCUCUGUUAGGUGGCCACCCAGGACAAGAACUGCAAGCUACCCAUCCCCAAGUGCUCAGUGGGAUUCCCAGACCUUCCACUGGAUCCUGCAGGUUCUGAUUAAAACCAGUUGAAAUGCAAGCUUGAAUUUAGGCAGCCACCGCGCCAGUGUAAUUCACACAUAUCCCAGAUGAAGGUUUUUUUUCAAGUUUGUUAGCAAACCAAAAAGUGAAACGUAGACAGGUCUGGCGGACUCUCAUAGUCUGAGGAUAUGGUGAUGUCUGAUUCAAUGGAGUGAGAAGAAGAGGAUUCGACAAAAUCUGCCAUCAGAUUGGAAAUCCACAGUCUGCUGGGAAGUGGAACAUUCUAACACCAAGCAUCCAAUAUCCAAUGGUACAUGAACAUAAUAUUUUGUUAUAAAUAAAAAUGUACUGUACUUUCGCAGCUCAUUAAUACAGCCAACCAAUGUCUACACACAGAUCAACACUGGUCAAUGGCUAUCAGCAAAAAUAAUAAAAAAAAAAAAUGGCUA